GUUUCGGUGGUUUCAGCGGGGAGGGUACGCCCGGUCCCAUUCCGAACCCGGAAGCUAAGUUCCCCAGCGCCGAUGGUACUGCCCGGGAGACCGGGUGGGAGAGUAGGACACCGCCGAACAA
rnacentral:rRNA from 1 species